rnacentral:rRNA from 1 species
UACAGAGGGUGCGAGCGUUAAUCGGAAUUACUGGGCGUAAAGCGUGCGUAGACGGUAAUGUAAGUCAGAUGUGAAAGCCCCGGGCUCAACCUGGGAACUGCAUUUGAUACUGAGUGGCUAGAGUUCGGGAGAGGAGAGUGGAAUUCCCAGUGUAGAGGUGAAAUUCGUAGAUAUUGGGAAGAACACCGGUGGCGAAGGCGGCUCUCUGGACCGAUACUGACGCUGAGGCGCGAAAGCGUGGGGAGCAAACAGG